AGAGUUUGAUCCUGGCUCAGGAUGAACGCUGGCGGCGUGCUUAACACAUGCAAGUCGAACGAAGCACUUUAUUUGAUUUCCUUCGGGACUGAUUAUUUUGUGACUGAGUGGCGGACGGGUGAGUAACGCGUGGGUAACCUGCCUUAUACAGGGGGAUAACAGUUGGAAACGGCUGCUAAUACCGCAUAAGCGCACAGCAUCGCAUGAUGCAGUGUGAAAAACUCCGGUGGUAUAAGAUGGACCCGCGUUGGAUUAGCUAGUUGGUGAGGCAACGGCCCACCAAGGCGACGAUCCAUAGCCGACCUGAGAGGGUGACCGGCCACAUUGGGACUGAGACACGGCCCAAACUCCUACGGGAGGCAGCAGUGGGGAAUAUUGCACAAUGGGCGAAAGCCUGAUGCAGCGACGCCGCGUGAGCGAAGAAGUAUUUCGGUAUGUAAAGCUCUAUCAGCAGGGAAGAUAAUGACGGUACCUGACUAAGAAGCACCGGCUAAAUACGUGCCAGCAGCCGCGGUAAUACGUAUGGUGCAAGCGUUAUCCGGAUUUACUGGGUGUAAAGGGAGCGCAGGCGGUGCGGCAAGUCUGAUGUGAAAGCCCGGGGCUCAACCCCGGUACUGCAUUGGAAACUGUCGUACUAGAGUGUCGGAGGGGUAAGCGGAAUUCCUAGUGUAGCGGUGAAAUGCGUAGAUUUUAGGAGGAACACCAGUGGCGAAGGCGGCUUACUGGACGAUAACUGACGCUGAGGCUCGAAAGCGUGGGGAGCAAACCGGAUUAGAUACCCUGGUAGUCCACGCCGUAAACCAUGAAAACUAAGGGGUUGGGAACCUUGCUUCUCGGUGCCGUCGCAAACGCAGUAAGUAUUCCACCGGGGGAGUCCCUUCCCAAGAAUUGAACUCAAAGGAAUUGACGGGGACCC
rnacentral:rRNA from 1 species